UACGUGGGGUGCAAGCGUUGUCCGGAAUUAUUGGGCGUAAAGAGCUCGUAGGCGGUUUGUCGCGUCUGCUGUGAAAACUCGGGGCUUAACUCCGGGCCUGCAGUGGGUACGGGCAGACUAGAGUGCGGUAGGGGGAGACUGGAAUUCCUGGUGUAGCGGUGAAAUGCGCAGAUAUCAGGAGGAACACCGGUGGCGAAGGCGGGUCUCUGGGCCGUAACUGACGCUGAGGAGCGAAAGCGUGGGGAGCGAACAGG
rnacentral:rRNA from 1 species